rnacentral:rRNA from 1 species
UACGAAGGGGGCUAGCGUUGCUCGGAAUUACUGGGCGUAAAGGGCGCGUAGGCGGACAGUUAAGUUGGGGGUGAAAGCCCGGGGCUCAACCUCGGAAUUGCCUUCAAUACUGGCUGUCUUGAGUGUGAGAGAGGUGUGUGGAACUCCGAGUGUAGAGGUGAAAUUCGUAGAUAUUCGGAAGAACACCAGUGGGCGAAGGCGACACACUGGCUCACUACUGACGCUGAGGCGCGAAAGCGUGGGGAGCAAACAGG